rnacentral:sRNA from 1 species
GAAUACAAGGGCAAUUUGACUGCAACAUAUUACCCUAUUAAUUGCCUGGGUUGAUUCUUAGCUGAAGUGUUCCCCUCCCUUACACUCCAUGUGUACCCAGACAAGAAGGUCACCUUUGUGAUAGAGGAGGACCAUUCUUUGGUCAAGGGUAUAUGAGUAGCUGCACUCCCCUGGUCAAAUCUCCAAACAAGCUCUCAAGAUAAUUUUCUGCUUUCUUCUUGAAAUGAUUUUGUUAGACCUCUUAUCCAUGUGGAAUUUAUGUUUGGGUUGAAGCAU